rnacentral:tRNA from 1 species
GGUAUAGCUCAGUUGGUAGAGUGCUUAUCUUGUAAGCACAAGCCCUGGGUUCAAUCCCCAGCACCA